ensembl:snRNA U4 U4 spliceosomal RNA
AGCUUUUUGCAGUGGCAGCAUUGUAGCCAAUGAGGUUUAUCCAAUGCACGAUUAUUGCUAAUUGAAAAUUUUUCCCAAUACCCUGUUAUGAUGACUUGAAAUAUAGUCGGUCUUAGCGUGCUCAACUGCUGUACCGAAAAAGAAAAGAAAUAUAGUUGGCAAUGGCACUUUUCGACAGUCUCUACAGAGA